AAUAAUUCUAGCGUGUGAUUGUUGUGAGGCCAAUAAAUGAAUAAAGUACUUUAAAAAUAUUAAAUUCGCCAAUAUUUUUAGAGCAUACAUGAACAUUUAUGGAUUACGGGAGAAAUGGGCUAGCCUUUAUUAUAUCUUCUUGUCUAAAAAGCCCAGACAAGUUUAAAACCAUUAACCAAGAUAUCAACCAAAUUCAAACCUAUAUCUAACCCCAAAUUAUUUAUUCAUGUAUACUUAACUAACUAACAAAAUCAAAGAUCAGCUAUAUGAAACAAUGGAUGACUAACAUGAACAUAACCAUAUUACCAAACAACAUAUGGACUGAACGUGGAAGCUAUUUUGAAAUAAGGCCAUAAAAUAAACUAAUAUGCUACUCCUCAUGCUUUCCAUCACAAUAACCAAACGAAACAUCACACAAAAGACUAUAUUAGCAAAAUAAUAGGUGUAGUAAGGAUAGAGAGAGUGGACUUUAAGCCAAAUAAUUUUUCAUAACUUGAUUAACUGGAAAACUCCAAGUGAGAUUUAUAAUAGAGUAAAGCCGACAAAAACUUGAGCAACAAACAACAAAAUGGCUUGAACUCCUUUGAGCGGAAACUCGAACGGUAACCUCGAACGACCUUAGCUAAAUCUCAACCGCUGGAGUUAUCUUGGAGUUGCUUUUCAUGGUAUUUUUCAGCUAGUAUAAGAGGGAUUUACAACUGAUUUUCAUGGAGGAUGGUGGCUGGUUUGAGUUCGAGUUUUAGGGGGUGUUUCACGGUGGUUUAGGGUGAUUUUGGGGCGUGAAAAAGACUAUUUUUUUGUGCUGGUUUUGGGAGUGAAAAUGGACGAAAAGAGGGUUGGUUUGGGGUAGUUUAAGAGCUAAAAUGCUACUGAGUUCUGACUAUUUUUUGGCGUCAUUUAUGGGGAUAAAGAACUACUUUUCAUGACUGUUUUUAUCGUUUGACGCAGCUGGUUUCUAGCAGCGUUUUGGGUCAUUCUCAUAGAAGCUUUAGGUGAGUUUUAAUGGCUGAAUUUUGGGGGAGGAAGGCAAGUUUCAGCCAUGGUAUUUUCUUUUAGGAAGGAGAAGAAGGUUGGCAGCUGCUUUCUUUUAGAUCUGUUUUUUUUGUUUUUUCUUUCUCUGCUUUUUCGUUUCUUUUUUCCAGCCCUCUAUUCUAUUUCUGUGUGUGUAUAGAUUUGUUUCUAUAUAUAGAGUGCCCUUAAGAUUUCUUGGGGCCAAAGUUAUAUGAGCUGGAGGGAAUAUUAUGUGCAAUGGCUACGUGUGGAGAAAGUGGGUGGAAUGUUCUGUGGGCCUCAAAAUCUGUUAGAUACCAAAAAAAAAGAUAAGAACAAAAUAUGUGCUCCCUCCCUUGCAACGUGAGAGUGUGUGAGGUUUUAUAACAGAAUGAGGAAGAAAGAUGUGUUUCCUUCUUGUCUUGAUUUUCCUUUGCUUUUUUUUUCCACGUUUUUUGCUUUCUGUUUUGUUCUUCUCUUUUUUUUUUUGUUUUCAAUUCUAUUCUUUUGAAGAUGAAACAAAAUUGUUAAUUUACCUAAACUAAUGGGAUAUUAAAAGAAAGAACUAAAAUAACUUUAUUUAAAAAAAAAAUCUAACUACUACUUAAUAUUUUAUUAGAGGCCUACAACUUUUAAACUAAACUAAGUACAUAUAGAUAUAUAUUUUUUGAAAUUUCUUCUUAUCUUUGUAAAUGAAGAUAAAAUUUAUACUAAAAAAAAUGUAACUCUUUUUUUUUGUAAUUUUAAUUUUCUUAAGUAAAAGCUAAAAUAAGAGCUAAAAUAUAUAUAUAUUAAACUUAUAAUAUAUUUACAUUCUAAAAAGUGAUGAAAACUCAAAUAUAGUAAAAGAUUAGGUGCUCACAGCUGCCACUAUUUGCUUGAAACAUGAAGAGUUUUUAGGCAAAGACAAAGUGAGCCAUGUGACUGAUUUUUGACUAUAUCUUUAUUCAAUAAGGGAAAAUAAACAAAGGAAAGAGUGCAAUCGAGUCCUGAUUUUGGACAGCCUACAUAUCCUGGUUCAUAAGGGAAUCAGGUCACGUGUAGUUCAAGGGGGAUAAUUGAAUGAUGAGUUCGAGAUUCGAGUGAGGUUCCGUCGAGGCUCCGGUCCGUAGUUCUGUUAUUACAUCAAAAUUAAAAUUAAAAAGACUAACUAAGUCUAUCAGCUACGAGUUACAAGAUUCCUAUAUAUGAGUCUUCUGAAGCUUGAUCUUGAGUCUUGACUGGUUCUUUCUGCAGACUAUGAUCUGAAUCUUGAUGCUUGUUAGCUGCAAGUGCAGGUUCAUUCUUCUUCAUCUUUUCGGAUUGAGGCGGGACAUGCAAAGCUUGUGAUUUCAAUCAUGUCUUGAGCAAUCCACAUCUUUUCUCUGCUUCUGCAAUUUGAGUUCACUUCCUUUUCUUUUCUUCUUUUUCUUUUAUUCCGGAUUGAGACUUCUUCUUUUGGUCAUCUCGAACCUUGUGCUUUAAGGUAUAACCUGUUCAGAAAUCAAAACAAAAGAAACGAACGAAAUUUUUCUGCCCUAAUUUUCACUAGGAAAAUUUUGUGAAUUAUUUGUAACCAAAACUCUAUACUACUUCAUUAUUGAAAGCAAUAAAAAUUAAGAUUGUGUAUUCUUAAGAAAAAUGAGAUUAAGGAGUGGAGACCCUAUGUCUAAAAAGUAAAAUCAACUAGGAAUUGGAAACCCUAUAUUGGAAAACCCACCAGGUUAUGCUGGUAUCAACUAGGGAAUGUGAUCUUAUGUUGGAAAGUCGUCAGGUUAUGCUGACAUCAAUUAGGGAAUGAGACCCUAUGUUGGAAAAGUCAUCAAGUUAUGCUGGCAUCAACUAGGGAGUGAGAACCUAUGUUGGAAAAGUCAUCAGGUUAUGCUGGCAUCAACUAGGGAGUGAGAUCUUAUGUUGGAAAGUCAUCAGGUUACGCUGGCAUCAAUUAGGGAGUGAGACCCUAUGUUGGAAACGUCAUCAGGUUAUGCUGGCAUGAACUAGGGAGUGAGACCCUGUGUUGGAAAAGUCAUCAGGUUAUGCUGGCAUGAACUAGGGAGUGAGACCCUAUGUUGGAAAGUCAUCAGGUUAUGCUGGCAUCAACUAGGGAGUAGAGACCCUAUGUUGGCAUCAACUAGGGAGUGGUGACCCUAUGUUGGCAUCAGGUUAUGUUGGCAUCAGGUUAUGCUAGCAUCAACUAGGGAGUGGAGAUCCUAUGUUGGCAUCAACUAGGGAGUGGUGACCCUAUGUUAGCAUCAGGUUAUGCUGGCAUCAACUAGGGAGUGGAGACCCUAUGUUGGCAUCAACCAGGGAGUGGUGAUCCUAUGUUGGCAUCAGAUUAUGCUGGCAUCAGGUUAUGCUGGCAUGAACUAGGGAGUGGAGACCCUAUGUUGGCAUGAACUAGGGAGUGGUGACCCUAUGUUGGCAUCAGAUUAUGCUGGCAUCAACUAGGGAGUGGAGACCCUAUAUUGAAAAAGAGACUAGGGAGUGGGUGCCCUAUGUCUAACAUAAAAUCAACUAGGGAUUGAAGAUCCUAUAUUGGAAAAAAUGCAGCUAGGGAUUGGAGACCCUAUACUACCAUGAUUCUGAACUUUUCUUCUAUUCUUUCUUUUCAUUUUAUUUUUUUUCAUCAUUUUUUAUUUAAUGAGUGAAAAUGCAGGAAAGAAUUUGGAGAAGACAUCUCUUUUGGAUUGAUUAUUGCUGCUGAGCUAUUUUAGCCUCUGCACAGUUUUCUUUUGUUGCACCUGCUCCUUCUUGCAAGGUUGCUUUUGGAUUGCACCCAUUUCCUGUUUUCAAACAAAGAACAAUUGUUAGUUUGAAACGGUGGUUGGUUUUGUGGCCUUGAUUGUUUAAGUCACUUGAUCUUGGUCAGCUUCUUUGAUGAUACUUUCAACUGCAACUAGUUGUUUCUUGAAGACCGAUUUUAUUUUUGGCCCCGGAGAAACUUUGGCUUUCCAAACUUUACUGUGACGGUUAGCCACGUGGGACUUAACCUUUUUAACUUUAUUUUUCCUUUGUGGGCCUUUCCCUUCUGACUUGUUUUUUUUUAACUUUGGAGCAUUGGGGAACUUUUGGCUCCUCAAACUUUGGCGCAAUGGCUAGUUGCGUAGGACUUAACCUUUUCCAAUUUUGUUUCACCUUCGUAGGCCUUUCAUUUCUGGCUUCUUUCUUCCGACUUCAAUUUUAGAGCAUUUGGGGUACCUUGGCUUUUCAAACCUUUGCCAAGACGGUUAGACACGUAGGACUUGACCUUUUUAACUUCAUUUGCCUUUAUAGGCACUUCAAUUUGAUUUUCUCCUUCCAAGAGUUUUGAUUUCGAAGCAUCGGCUGCCAUGGCCGGUCGAGGUCGACUUGAUGCCCCUGACGAGGCUGUGUGCCUUUUUGUAUAUUAGCUUGUAUCAAAUGAGAACUCUGUAAUUCAAUCUUACCAUCCUUUCUUUGUCUUAGUUUCGGAACAGAGUUAGACCGAAAGGAAUUCAAAGAAAACAAACAAUGGAAUGGAGAAUGAGUUUAAAAAAAGAAGUGUCCCUUUCGGGGAACGGAAAGAAAGACUUAUCUGGAGUAUAUGUGGACUUCAAUGAACAUGACAUGCCUUCUGGACUGGAUGCCUGAUCUGUGUAAACCGUUCGACUUUCAGAAAUUCAUCACAACUUUUGCCUCAAAAUCGAGAAAUCUUGCCAGGACUCUAUCGAUGCCGAUGGCUGUGAGGAUCCUCUUUUCGAUCAGGGGCGCCCUUUGUGGGUUUUCACCAGCUGACCUCUCUCGUUUCUUUUUUCACCGUCGCCUUAUAGUGCUUUUUGCGAGUUUUCACUAACAUGACUCUUUCAUUUUUUAUUUCUGUGCUUACCAUCGCCUUACGGUGCCCGUGAGGGUUUUCACCAAUAAGACUCUCUCAUUUUAUUUCCCUUAUUUUUGUCGCAUUAGAUCCUAUGACUGUAUCUUCCAAUUCUUGAACAUUUCAUUGAUUGAUCGGAAGGAAUUUGAAAAAGGGUAUGGGUGAAAAGGAUUUGGAGAGAAUUACAACUUUGGAACCCUUCGGGCGAAACCAUCGGCGAACCAUUAUAACUUCCGCCCCAGUUUCACUUUUGGGGGAAUUUGAAUUUUUGUUUUGGUAUGACUGAACCCUAGCGAGAGGCUCCCUACGUAUCCUUUCAGAAUCAAGUCGAACGUAGUUCAGAAACUUUGUUUUUAAUUUUCUUUUGUUUCUUUGUUUUGUUUUGUUUUCUCUUUCUUUUUCCUUUCCUUUUUCAUCUCUUUUUUUCGUUUUUUUAUUUCAUUUUCUUUGUCUUUUCUUCCUUUUUUUGUAUCUUUCUUUUUCUUCUCUUUUUCAUUUAAUUUUUUUUAUUUUUUUUCAAUAACACUUUCAGGUUCCAAAGAGGGUAAUCAAACAAAAGUAACCGGCUCAAAGGGUUUGCAAAAGGUUGAUAGUGUUUGGAUAGCUAAAAUAAAAGCCUUCUUCAUCUCAAAUGGAGAACAUUAAUGUUAUAUAGAGGAUCCAACAUAGUACCUUUUGACUGCACCUACGUUGAGAGUUGUUCAGGAACAUUUCCUUUGACAUUUCCCAUGUACAAUGCUCUCUUCGGCAGUACUCUUGUUACCAUGUAUGGAUCUUUCCAAUCUGGAACCAAUUUUCCUUUAGCUGUUCCAACUCUUUAUUUUAUUUCCUUAAACUUAUCUUCAUUGGAAUCUAAUUCUUGAUUCAUUAUUUCGAGAUGUGACAGCGUUUUAGGAUCUAGGCAUGAAGUCUGCAAGCAUGUCAUGUUAUUGAUAUGCAUUUAAUAGAACUAAAAAGAGAAUAAGAAAAGUGAUAAGAUUAAGAAAAGCGACAUUCCUAGACAAUGAAAUAUAUAUUUCAUUUGAUGUUUUUUUGAAUUUUAAAGAUAGAAGGGUUUACAUCGGAAAGUAAGACAAUAAAGUAAAACAUUCGGAUCACACCCUAAGAUAAUCCAGACGCAGAAAUGAUAGCAAGACUGGCUACCGAGACUCCCAUCUAAUGGGAAAUUUUUAGGCUUGGCAACCGUUUUUAGCUUUUCUUCUAUCUCUGCAAUGACUGCAAUGGCCUUCAGUGCCGGAUCAAAUUCCUCAUCUUCACAAAUCAUUCCGACUAUUAGCCCAGUGUUGUGAGCAGGCAACGAGUUGUUCGUCAUAUCAGGAGCCUCUUCAUCCCAAAGAACAAUUCUUUUAGCUUCAAUCAAGUCUUCAAUUGCCCUUUUGAGGGUCCAACAGUCCUCCGUACUGUCUCCCACUGCUCCAGAAUGGUAUACACAUAUAGCAUCAGCUCAGUACAAGGGGGACCCGGGGUUCGGCCGGUUCGGGGCCACUGGCUGCAACAGACCUAGCCCGAUUAGCUUUUGGAACAAGCUCGAGUAUGAUUCACCAAUAGGGGUGAACUGAUUCUUUCUGAAAGGUUCUCUUGGGCGAGGAUUGUAUUGGGGAUCAUUUGGUUGAGGAUUAUAUGGAGCUUGGUAAGGAUGGGCAUUUCUGGGAGGUGGAGCUCGGUUUUGUGUAUAAUAUUGUGGCCGAGGGUAAGGUUGCACGUUCAUUACCGUAUAGGGAGGCGGUGCCACAGCAUAAGCAGCAUCUUGAAGGGGAUAGUAGUGUGGUGGGACCAUUUGAGGCACAUAUGAUUGUCUGAAUGACCUAUGGGCCCCCCUCGAGCAUGACACCAUUAUGGCUCCCUCUUCUCGCCUAUUUCUGUUCAUUAAACCCUCUGAACCAUUCUGAGCAGCCUGUGAUGUAGCCUUAAAAGCAGCUUGACUCAAAAUUCGUCCCGUUUUCAAACCAUUUUCAACCAUCUCCCCAAUUUUGAUAGCCUCAGCAAACGGUCUACCCAUAGCAGACAUCAUGUUCUGGAAGUAGUCCGCCUCUUGGGCCUGUAGGAAGACCGUAGCCAUUUCAGCUUCGUCCAUUGGAGGUUUUACCCUGGCAACUUGCUCGCGCCAUUUGACAGCAUAUUCGCGAAAACAUUCCAUGGUUUUCUUUUUAAAAUUGGACAGAGUGUUUCUGUCGGGAGCGAUAUCCACAUUAUAUUGGAACUGGCGGACAAAAUCUCGGGCCAUAUCGUCCCCCUCUUAGCUGAUUGCAAUAUCUUUUCAAAUGAGUGAUCGGGUCUCCAUGCCCGUCGUAUGUUUUGAAUUUUGGCGUCUUAAAGCCCACGCGCAAAUGAACAUGAGGAAACAUGCACAGAUCAGAGUAUGAAACACUCUUUUGGAUACUCAAGCCUUGCAUGUUCUUAAGACUUUGUUCGAGACUUUUCGUUUUCCGAGCCAUUUCUUCUUGCUCAGAAUUCUUGACAACCUUUUCUUGCCCCACCGAGAAGUCACAUUGCGUAGAUUGAGUAAAGGAGUACGAGGUAACAUAUGUUAUUUCUGGUUGAAGCUGUGGACCCUGAAAGGUGAACAUUGGAGGCUCAACAUACGGCCGUGACAAAGUUGGUUAUGCUGUGGUGCUGGCAGUGCCUUUGAGGCCAAUGCCUGGGGGCAAACCACAGAAGGCAUUCUGAGACAGUUAAAUGGCAUUAUAGGGUACUCGCAUGGGAUGAACGGAUUGGGCACAAAGGUGUUGGUAGUCUCUCUUGACCUGGGGAUGAACUCAGGGAUCCCAAGGAUCACACUUGGCGGUUCCUUACCAUUAGACCAGGCAUCCCAUAUUUCUAAUAUGCGGAGACGCAACAUUCUAUUUUCUUCAGUAGCUGCUGAUUCUAGAUGCGGAAUAGCUAAUGCCGGGCUAUUCUCAGGACCGAUGAUUGGUAAAUUGCUUGCGGAGGCCAUCUGUGCCUUUGGAUCUUGUGAAGGAGGGGAGGCUAGACUACCAACAAAAUCAACCACCAAAACCUGGCUAAUUUGCACACCCAACAACCUUGUUAGUUUUGAGACGCUUAACAGAUAGGAAAUCGCACGUUUGGAUGCAAUGCACCUAAACAGUUAAACGUUUCUACCAUGUAUUUGAAUGGUUGUAUGUUUCAUCCCGACCUUUACUAACUCUUUUCACUCUGUACCUCUUUUCUUCAUUUCUGCCUCUCUUUAAUUACUCUUGAUUUUUUUCAUCUCGUUUUUGCCGCUCUUUUAUUUUUAGCACUCUCUUUUUCUCUUUUUGUUUGUCACUCUUUUAUUUUUUGUCGCAACUUUUUUUUUUGUUUUGUCGCUCUUUUCUUUCUUUUUCACUCAAUUUUUUUCUCUUUCUUUUUUUUUUCAAAUUAUUUUUCACUAAGUUUUAUUUUAUAGCUAUGAUCGAAUAUGAUGGGGAUUGCCUACGUAUCAUGACGCCGCAUGAAUCAAAUCUUGCGUAGUUCGGGAAGAUUGAGAAUGGAGUAAAUAAGCUAACUCUCUUUUUUGUUUAUUUUUAUAAAACUUAAACCAUGAAAGCUUUAAGAAAGAGAAAAACAUAUAUUUUUUGAAAUUUUAUUUUUUUUUGGAAUUUCGAAAGUAAUGCUUUAAAAGAAGAAAGGAAAUAUUUUUUUUUGGAUUUUUGAUUUUGAAUUUAUUUUUUAUUUUUUGAAAGAAAGACUUCUAAAACUUCUUUUUCUUUUGAUUUGAACUUUGAGAAUUUCAAAAGUAAAAGGAAAUAUUUUGUUUGAAUUUUCAUUUGUUUUCUUCUUUUCUAAAGAAGAAAGAAUUUUUUUUUUGGAUUUUGGAUGUUGCCUCUUAAUUUUUGAAAGAGGAACUUUUAAGAAAUAUUUUGGAUUUCUGAGUUUUUUGUUUUUAAAUUUACAAAAGUACUUCUAAAAAAAACGAAAAAUAUUUUUGGACUUCCAAAUUUUUUUAUGACAUUUACGAACGAAAGACUUUUAAAGAAGGAAAAUAAUAUUUUUUUUCUUUGGAUUCUUUUUUUUUCUAAUUAUUUUUGGAUUUUUUUGAAAAAUACUUCAAAACAAAGGAAACCCGUAUUUUGGAUUUUGAUUUUUGAUUUAUUUAUUUAUUUAUUUUUCCGUAUGAAAGAUUUCAGAAAGAAGAUAUUUUUUUUGAUUUUAAAAAUCUUUUUUAUUUGUCGAAAAAGUAGCGGAAUUUAAACCCAAAAGUAGUUAAUCAACACAAAAGUAGUCGAAAACAUGAUUUAAUGAUAAUAAGUAGCGGAUAAUAUCAAUAAGGUGCGAAAGUACAACCCAACACAGCCCUAACCGGGGUGUCACAAGUCACGAGCAUCUAACAAUACUGAAUCCUCAAAUGUAACUACAGAGUUUUAAAUACUGAACUAAGAACAUAAAGGAAAGAGAUAGGGAGGAGCUCCAAGCUGCGAAUGCCAAUAGCUACCUAAAGACUCAUCGAAGAUCCGCUUGAAGCUGGAAUGAAUCAACACUCGAAGGUGGGACCAGCUACGCCUGAAUCUGCACACAUGGUGCAUGGAGUAAAGUGAGUACUCCAACUCAGUGAGUAACAAAUGUAAAUAAUGACUGAAAGUAAGAAAACACGUAAAGCACAAGGAAUUCUAUAAUGAAGCAGUAAAAUCAUUUUAAAAUAGUAAAACCAGUAAACGUCAAGUAAAAUCCUCUUUCCACAAGUAAACAAGUAAUUGACAUGUAGUUAAGGUAAAGUAAACAAAUAGAAGUUCGUCCCUCGGGCACAGUAUCAACAAAUCCGCCCUUCGGGCAAUAUCUUAGAACAAUACCAGCCCCUCAGGCUCAAUCUCACAUCACAAUGAGUACCUGCGCUCACUGGGGUUGUGUAGACUCCUUGAGGGGCCCCUUACGGCCCAAGCGCAAUAACUAGCCAUCUCGUGGCAUCAAAACUGGGCCCUCGGCCUCAUAUCAAUCAAGCCACCUCGUGGCGUACAUAUCUCAGGCCCUCGGCCUCAAAUUAGUAUCAGUNNNNNNNNNNNNNNNNNNNNNNNNNNNNNNNNNNNNNNNNNNNNNNNNNNNNNNNNNNNNNNNNNNNNNNNNNNNNNNNNNNNNNNNNNNNNNNNNNNNNNNNNNNNNNNNNNNNNNNNNNNNNNNNNNNNNNNNNNNNNNNNNNNNNNNNNNNNNNNNNNNNNNNNNNNNNNNNNNNNNNNNNNNNNNNNNNNNNNNNNNNNNNNNNNNNNNNNNNNNNNNNNNNNNNNNNNNNNNNNGGCUUAGUAGUAAAAAAGAUUUCAGAAAGAAGAAUCUUUUUAAAAAUGCUUCUAAGGAAUUAAAGAAAAUAUAUUUGGAUUUUUUUUAAAAAAAAAAUUGGGGCUGGAAUCGAUGAGGUUUGCCUACGUAUCUCACAUCCAGUGAGAAUCAGACCCACGUAGUUCAGUCUGUUUUGACAUAAAUGGAAAAACAUGAUAUUGACUCACUUUCAUUUUUGAAAUACAUUUUCUUUCUCUUUUCUUUUUCAAAAAUUUUGGCAAAGUUUCGAGGCAUUUUUCAAAUGUCGGGUUUUCAGAACCGGGUAAAUUCUCUAUAUCCUACCUCACUCUUGGUUUUUCUGUUGUUUUUCUUUUCUUAUACAGUCAACAUACAAGCCGAAACAAAUAGAUGUACAAAUAGCACGUAAGAUGCAUCAGGAUGGUCUUUCAUUUCGGGUACACCUGUCCUAGACGAACCUAACUCCUGUGUUGAGUCCCCAAAGUCAAAUGCACGUGAUGCAAAUAAACGUUUCAACUAGGGAUCCGGCAUGAGGUUAUGUUAUUCUAGGUAUAAACCUGGGUUGUGUUCUUGUCUGGCUUACCCAAGCAGACAACUUGAGCCGAGGUGGGAGCGAUCUACCGGGAGCACGAAAGUCUACCCGGCCUAGUGGUUGAUCCAUCCUCGUUCUAUUUGGUACGACCUUUGUAACGACCCGACUAGUUGUUUUGCCUUUUAGGACCCCAUUCCCUUAAAUAAAACUUCCCGUGCUUGCUUUAGCUAAUUUACGACUUGCGGGGACGGUUGGUCGGGAAUUGGAAAAGUUUUGAGUGAAAUAUGUCCAUUUGAUUCGUUAAGAUUCUCUUAAAAGACUAAAUUUGACUUUGGUCAACAUUUUGAGCAAACAGACCUGAAUCCGUGAUUUGACGGUCCCGGAAAGUCCGUGGGAAAAUAUGGAACGUGGGCGUAUGUCCGGAAUCGAAUUGAAGUUUUAAAAAAAUUAAAGAAACUAAGUAACCAUUGAUUUCCUAGGUAUCAGGCUCGUAUUUUGGUUCCGAAGAUAUAGGUCCGAAAUAUCAUUUAAGACUUGCCCGUAAAAUUUGGAUUCAACCCGAGUAGUUUAAGGGCAUUUUGGCCCGUUAGAGGGAAAUUAAGAACUUGAAGUUCAUAAGUUUGAUUCAAUUGGUUUUAGGGGGUGAAUUCUAGAUUUAGCAUUGUUUCGGGUGUUCCGAGGGUUCGAGUAGGUCCGUCUCGUGAUUUCAGACUUGUUGGUAUGUUCGGGCGGGGCCUGGGAGCCCCGAGCGUCAGUCAGACGAGGCUCCAGUGAAGUGGAAAAUUUGAUAAAGGGCUGAAGGUUGCUGCUUCUGUCAUAACUGUAUCUGCGGUUCUUGGACCGCAGAUGCGGGACAGCAUGUGCGGCCCUUCCAUUGCAGAAGCGACCCAGGUGGCCCGGCCAAGAAACCGCAGAUGCGGCUCCCAAGCCGCAGAAGUGGCUCCGCAGAUGCGGCCCUGAGACCGCAGAUGUGGUCGCAACUUUCUCUCCCCUUUCCGCAGAUCCGCAUUCUCGCAGAUGCGGGACCGCAGAUGUGGAAAUCGCUGGGCAGUGAGGUUCAUUUAAUACGAGUUCAAUAUCAUUUUUAUCACUUAUACACUCUUCCAUUGGAGAUUUUGGGAGCUUUGGAGAGGAGACUUCCACUUAGCAUUGUGAGGUAAGUUUAUUCCAUCCAUCUUUUGUUUAAUACUUGCAUAUUAGGUAGAUUAAACACUAGAAAUUAGGUAAAAAUCAAGGGGUUAGAGCAAGACCUAGGGUUUUAAUAAAACUUAGAUUUAACCACGAAAUUUGUUAUGAGAUGAAUUAGAAAUCAUAUAUUAUUGAUUCUUAGGUUGUAGAGAACAACUUCCUUCGAAAAAUCUUGGAAUCCGGACACGUGGGUCCGGGGUCAAAAUUUAGGAAACUUGUGUAAAAGGUUGGGAAAUUGCUUAAAUAGUUAGAAUUCGAUCUUGUGAGUCUAUAUUGACUAGUUCAUACUCCAUUUAACUAGUUUGGGAUCGUUCAGCUCCGAAUUGAGGGUUUGGGCUAGUCCUUGGCAUUUGAAGUAUACUUUGGAGCGAGGUAAGUCUCCUUUCUAACCUUGUAAGAGGGAAUUGUCCCCAUAGGCAUAAUAAUUGAGUAAUUGUUGCUAAAUGUGGAGGCUACGUACGUACUAGGUGACGAGAGUCCGUGUGUAGCUACUAUUAUGUUAAUUGUCCGGGUAGUUUAGGAUCCACAUCAUGCUAUGUUUGUGAAUAUCUCUAUAUUAUCUUGCUAAUAUGAUCACUUAGGAUGUGCUAGAGACUUGGAAAGUAAUAAGAGCGAACGUGUAUACUUGUUGAACUCUUGAGUGACAUUAUUGAAUAUUAAUGUGCCUUCGUGUGUGUUCUUGAUAUUGCUUGUUAUUUGUGGAUCGGGCCGAUCGCCUCGGUAUGAAUAGAUGCAUCUAUGGUUCGCGCCGUUCGACCCUCGACAAUGCACAGUUUAUUUCUGUUGGAUCGGGUCGUCGCCUCGGCAUAAUGUGCGCAUGAUAUCUAUGUGAAGUUUUUUGCAUGAUUUGUUUUGCUAAGUAUUUCAAAAUGUAAAUAGCUAACUGAUACAUUGUUAAGAACAUGAUUUUACCUCUUGUUAUACACUAUUGAUUAUUGGUGAUCCCCAUGCUUAGCAUAACACUUUAUUAUAUAAUUUGACCCUAGUAAGUAUCAAGUCAACUUCUCGCCUCUACUUCUUCGAGAUUAGACGAGAUACUUACUAGGUACAUAUUGUUUAUGUACUCAUACUACACUUCUGUACUUAAUUGUACAGGAUCUGAGGAAGGUACAUCUGGCUACCAGUCGGGUGUGCGCCCCUGAGUUGUUGACCGAGACUUCCACGGUCAGCUGCUUCCUUCCUAUGUCGUUCAGCAGUCGGAUGGAGUCUUUUCUUAUUUUUACUGUCUUUUCUAUCUCAGACAGUAGGACAGAGAUAUUCUUUUGUAUAUUCUACUAGAUGCCUAUUACUUGUGACACCAGGUCUUGGCACAUACAUUAGUAGAUAUUUAUUUUUGGGUUGUAUAAUCAUUUUUGAUACUUUAUUGAUCAUUUAUGAUUUUUUUAUUUAAAUUCGAGAAUCUGCUUCACUUAUUUUUUUUUUAUAAAAGUAAAGUAAGAACUUAAUUAUGUUUUCCGCGUCGGCUUGCCUGACAAUGGGUGUCGGGCACCAUCAUGACCUAUUUUGGAAAUGGGUCGUGACAACAUGGUGUCAGAGCAUUAGGUUCACGUAGGUCUCACAAGUCAUGGGCAAACCUUAUAGAGUCUUGUAGAUCGGUACGGAGACGUCUGUAUUUAUCUUCGAGAGGCUAUAGGGUAUUAGGGAAAAACUACUCUUUUUUCAUUUCCUAUCAUGCAGUGGUUGUUGUACUAAAAUUCCCUCUUCUAUUCUCUCACAGAUGGUGAGGACACGCACGACUGAUGUUCCGGACCCGGGAGGAGCUGCUCCCCCCGUUGCUAGAGGCCGAGGCAGAGGCCGGGGGAGGGCAUCGGUCCGUGGUAGGGGACAAGGGUGUCCCAGAGCUAUUCCAGUAGCACCACCAGCAGAUCUUGCGGGAGAUCCUAUUAUCAAGGAGCAGGGCGAGGUGCCCGCAACUGAGCCUACCCCAGCAAAUUUUAUGACAGCACCGGGAUUUCAGGAGGUCAUGGGCCGCAUGCUACAGUUCAUGGAUUCUAUGGCUCAGGAUGGUUUAUUUCCAGUAGAUCCAGCUACCUCACAGGCAGGAAGGGGAGCACAGACCCCUACUACUCAGGCUCCAGGUCAUGCAGCUGCAGUGUAUCAGACUCCGGGUGCACUACCCGCAGAGGGGGCCCAACCAGUUGCCGCAGUGGUGCCCCAGCCCAGACCAGUUGGCGAUGGUGACCCGUAGAAGCUGUUGGAAAGAUGGACUAGACUUCACCCUCCAGUCUUCGGGGGUGAGCGUCAUGAGGAUGCUCAGGACUUCAUAGACAGGUGCAGGGACAGCCUGCACAACAUGAGGAUAUUGGAGUCACAUGGAGUUGACUUCACUACUUUUCAACUUGAGGGCAGGGCCCGUAGAUGGUGGCAGUCUUAUGUUCUUGGCAGGUCAGCAGGUUCUCCUCCCAUCACUUGGAGUCAGUUCGCACAGUUAUUCUUGGAUAGGUAUAUCCCGCCCUCUAAAAGGGAAGAGCUGCGGUAUCAGUUCGAGCAUCCUGAGCAGGGUCAGAUGUUUGUGACCGACUAUGAGGCGAGGUUUUCUGAGUUAUCCCGCCAUGCACUUAUGAUACUUCCUAUAGAUAUAGAGAGAGUGCGGAGGUUUGUUGCGGGAUUGCACCACGGUAUUCGAUCUGGUAUGGCCCGAGAGGUAGAGAUGGGUACAGAGUAUCAGCUAGUGGUCGAGAUUGCUCGCUGUAUUGGGGGCCAGAGGGGGUAGAGAGCAGAUGUAGCAGGAUAAGAGAGCUAGAUUCUCCGGAGAGUUCAGAGGUGCCCCGGCUAGGGGCAGAGGUCAGUUUGGAGGGGGUCAGCCCAGCAGGCCCCCAUUUUCAGCACCACCACCUGCCCGGGGUGCUCCAGCGUGCCCCUAUUUUAGCGCCAAGCCAGAGAGUUCUUAUCGCCUGCCAGCUAUUCAGGGUUCCUCCAGUGGGUAUUCAGGUCCCCAGGAUUCUUCUGGUUCCUAUUUCAGCGCUAUGCCGGAGAGUUCAUAUUGUCCACCAGCUAUCCAGGCUUCUUCUAGUGGAUCUAUGGGAUUUCACAGUCAGCCAUCAGGGCAGCAGGUCGCCGCACCGUGUAGCUAUUUUGAGUGCGGAGAUCCUGGUCACAUGAGGAGAUAUUGCCCUAGACUUCGGGGCAAGGCAGUGCAGAAGAGUCAGCAGCCCAUGAUUCCAGCACCAGCUGCCCAGCUACCUAGAGGUGGAGGGCAGGCUGGUAGAGGCCAUCCUAGAGGUGGAGGCCAGGCAGGGAGAGGUCAACCAGCUAUUGCUCAGCCAGGUGGAGGCCAGCCAGCUGGUGCUCCAGCCAGAUUCUAUGCUCUUCCGGCCAGGCCAGAUGCAUUGGCCUCAGAUGCCGUCAUCACAAGUAUUAUUUCCGUCGGUGGUAGGGAUGCUUCAGUAUUGUUUGAUCCAGGGUCUACCUAUUCAUAUGUAUCAUCUCUGUUUGCUCAUUUCCUGGUUAUUUCUCCUGAGCCUUUGGGCACUCCUGUUCAUGUGUCCACUCUUGUAGGUGAUUCUGUGGUUGUGGAUUGGAUCUACCGGUCCUGUGUGGUCACCUUCUAUUGUUUCGAGGCUAGAGCAGAUCUUCUUUUGCUUGAUAUGAUCAAUUUUGAGGUCAUCCUGGGCAUGGAUUGGUUAUCUCCAUAUGACGUCGUGCUAGAUUGCCAUGCCAAGACUGUUUCACUAGUGAUGCCAGGGUUGCCGAGGUUGGAGUGGAAGGGUUCCAUAGUUGAUACACCUAGUCGAGUUAUUUCUUUCCUGAAGGCUCGGCAUAUAGUCGAGAAGGGGUGUUUGGCUUAUUUAGAUUAUGUUCGAGACACUACCGCAGAGUCUCCGACGAUUGAUUCAGUACCUGUAGUCCGAGAGUUCGCCGAUGUUUUUUCUUCUGAUCUACCUGGCAUGCCUCUGGAUCGUGAUAUUGAUUUCUACAUUGAUUUGGCUCCAGGCACCCAACCUAUAUCUAUUCCACCGUACCGUAUUGCUCCUAAGGAGUUGAAGGAGUUUAAGGAGCAGCUUGAGGAGUUGUUGGCGGAGGGGUUUGUUAGGCCCAGUGUAUCGCCUUGGGGUGCACCAGUGUUAUUUGUGAAGAAGAAGGAUGAGACUAUGCAGAUGUGCAUUGAUUACCGCCAGUUGAACAAAGUCACCAUUAAGAACAAGUAUCCGUUGCCUCGUAUUGAUGAUUUGUUCGACCAGUUGCAGGGUGCUAGGGUGUUCUCUAAGAUCGACUUGAGGUCAGGGUAUCAUCAGCUGAAGAUUCGGGACUCAGAUGUUCCGAAGACUACAUUCUGGACUAGAUAUGACCAUUAUGAGUUUCUGGUGAUGUCCUUCGGCAUGACUAAUGCCCCCGCAGCAUUUAUGGAUUUGAUGAACAGGGUAUUCAGGCAUUAUAUUGAUUCGUUUGUCAUCGUCUUCAUUGAUGACAUCUUGAUAUACUCACGUAGCCUGGGGGAGCACGAGCAUCAUUUGAGAGUAGUGCUUCAGACCUUGCGAGAGCAGAAGCUGUAUGCUAAGUUCUCCAAGUGUGAGUUUUGGCUAGAGUCAGUGGCAUUCUUGGGGCAUGUUGUUUCAGGAGAGGGUAUUAAGGUGGAUCCCAAGAAGAUUGAGGCAGUUUAGGGUUGGCCACGUCCUACUUCAGUGAUCGAGAUUAGGAGCUUCCUGGGUCUAGCAGGUUAUUACCGGCAAUUUGUGCAGGGCUUUUCAUCUAUUGCAUCACCUCUGACAAGAUUGACCCAGAAGGGUGCUCCAUUCCAUUGGUCCGAUGAUUGUGAGGAGAGCUUCCAGAAGCUCAAGACAGCUUUGACUACGGUACCAGUUCUUGUAUUGCCUUCCAGCUCGGGGAUGUAUACAGUAUAUUGUGACGCUUCACACGCCGGCUUGGGAAGUGUAUUGAUGCAGGAGGGGCGAGUUAUUGCAUAUGCUUCGCGUCAGUUGAAGGUUCAUGAGAAGAAUUAUCCUGUGCACGAUCUAGAGUUGGCCACAAUUGUUCAUGCUCUUAAGAUAUGGAGGCAUUAUUUGUAUGGGAUGUCAUGUGAGGUUUAUACCGAUCAUCGCAGCUUGUAGCAUUUGUUCAAGCAGAGAGAUCUUAAUUUGAGGCCGCGCAGGUGGCUUGAGUUGCUAAAGGAUUAUGACAUCACCAUUCUUUAUCAUCCGGGCAAGGCAAAUGUGGUUGCGGAUGCCUUAAGCAGAAAGGCAGAGAGUAUGGGUAGCUUGGCAUUUAUUCCAGCAGAGGAGAGGCCACUAGCUUUGAACAUUCAGUCCUUGGCUAACAGACUUGUGAGGUUGGACAUUUCAGAGCCCAGUCGAGUUCUUGCGUGUGUGGUUGCUCAGUUUUCUUUAUUGGGGCAGAUCAAGGCCCGACAGUUCGAUGAUCCACAUUUGGCGGUCCUCAGAGAGACGGUACUUCAGGGAGGUGCCAAGGAGGUUUUUAUUGGUGAGGAUGGUGCUUUGCGGCUUCAGGGCCGUCUAUGUGUUCCUAAUGUUGACGGUCUGAGGGAGAGGAUUCUAGAGGAGGCCCACAGUUCACGGUAUUCCAUUCAUCCGGGUGCCACGAAGAUGUAUCGUGACUUGAGGCAGCAUUAUUGGUGGCGGAGAAUGAAGAAGGACAUAGUAGAGUAUGUGGCUAGAUGUUUGAAUUGCCAGCAGGUCAAGUAUGAACACCAGAGGCCGGGUGGCUUACUUCAGCAGAUGCCUAUUCCGGAGUGGAAAUGGGAGCGCAUACAAUGGAUUUCGUAGUUGGGUUGCCGCGGACUUUGCGAAAGUUUGAUUCAGUAUGGGUCACUGUGGAUAGGUUGACCAAGUCGGCUCACUUCAUUCCAGUAGCAACUACUUAUACAACGAAGAGGUAUGCUCAGAUCUACAUUCGGGAGAUAGUUUAGUUGCACGGUGUGCCUGUUUCCAUCAUAUCAGACAGAGGCCCUCAGUUCACUUCCUAUUUCUAGAGAGCUGUUCAGAGUGAGUUGGGACCCACUUAGAGCUCAGCACAACAUUCCAUCCUCAGACCGACGGCCAGUCGGAGCGGACAAUUCAUAUUUUAGAGGAUAUGCUUAGAGCAUAUGUGAUUGACUUUGGAGGGCAGUGGGAUCAGUUCCUGCCUUUAGCGGAGUUUGCGUACAACAACAGCUAUCAGUCUAGCAUAGAGAUGGCUCCAUUCGAGGCUUUAUAUGGUCGACGUUGUCGUUCCCCUAUCGGGUGGUUCGAGCCUGGCGAGGCCAAGUUAUACGGUACAGAUUUGGUACAAGAUGCCUUGGAUAAGGUAAAGUUGAUUUAGGAAAGGCUUCACACAGCUCAGUCCAGACAGAAGAGUUACGCGGAUCAGAAGGUGCGUGAUGUAUCAUUUAUGGUUGGCAAGAAGGUUCUCUUGAAAGUCUCGCCAAUGAAGGGCAUUAUGAGGUUCAGAAAGAAGGUCAAGUUGAUCCCAAGGUUUAUUGGUCCCUUUGAGGUGUUGAGGCGAGUUGGGGGCCUAUGAGCUUGCUUUACCCCCCAGUUUAUCGGGAGUUCAUCCAGUUUUUCAUGUAUCGAUGCUUCGCAAGUAUCACGCCGACCUAUCCCAUGUGUUGGACUUCAGUACUAUUCAGUUGGAUGAGAGUUUGGGUUAUGAAGAGGAGCCAGUUGCCAUUAUUGAUAGACAGGAUCGCCAGCUAAGGUCCAAGAGGAUUUCUGCGGUGAGAGUCUAGUGGAGGGGCCAAUCAGUCGAGGAGGCGACUUGGGAGUUCGAGGAGGACAUGCAGAGCAGAUAUCCCCAUUUAUUCAGUAGUUCAGGUACUUUUCUAUGUCCGUUCGAGGAUGAACGUUUGUUUAAAAGGUGGAGAAUGUAACGACCCAACUAGUCGUUUUGCCUUUUAGGACCCCGUUCCCUUAAAUAAAACUUCCCGUGCUUGCUUUAGCUAAUUUACGACUUGCGGGGAUGCUUGGUUCGGGAAUUGGAAGAGUUUUGAGUGAAAUAUGUCCAUUUGAAUCUUUAAGAUUCUCUUAAAAGACUAAGUUUGACUUUGGUCAACAUUUUGAGAAAACGGACCCGGAUCCAUAAUUUGACGGUCCCGGAGAGUCCCUAGGAGAAUAUGGGACCUGGGCGUAUGUCCGAAAUCGAAUUCCGAGAUCCCUAGCCCGAGUAAUAAAUUUUUAUUAGAAAUUGUUAAUUUGAAGUUUUAAAAAAAUUAAAGAAACUAAGUAAUCAUUGAUUUCCUAGGUAUUGGGCUCGUAUUUUGGUUCCGAAGGCUGGUAUAAGUCCGAAAUAUCAUUUAAGACUUGCCCGUAAAAUUUGGUGUCAACCUGAGUAGUUUAAGGGCGUUUUGGCCCGUUAUAGGGAAAUUAAGAACUUGAAGUUCAUAAGUUUGAUUCAAUUGAUUUUAGGGGGUGAAUCCUAGAUUUAGCGUUGUUUCGGGUGUUCCGAGGAUUCGAGUAGGUCCGUCUCGUGAUUUCAGACUUGUCGAUAUAUUCGAGCGGGGCCCGGGAGCCCCGAGCGUCAGUCGGACGAGGCUCCAGUGAAGUAGAAAAUUUGAUAAAGGGCUGAAGGUUGCUGCUUCUGUCAUAACCGCAUCUGCGGUUCUUGGACCGCAGAUGCGGGGCCGUAGGUGCGACCCUUCCAUCGCUGAAGCGACCCAGGUGGCCAGGCCAGGAAAUCGCAGAUGCGGCCCUGAGACCGCAGAUGCGGUCCCAUCUUUAUCUCCCCUUUUCGCAGAUGCGGGACCGCAGAUGCGGAAAUCGCUAGGCAGUGAGGUUAAUUUAAUACGAGUUCAAUACCAUUUUUAUCACUUAUACACUCUUCCAUUGGCGAUUUUGGGAGCUUUGGAGAGGAGACUUCCACUUAGCAUUGUGAGGUAAGUUUAUUCUAUCCAUCUUUAGUUUAAUACUUGCAUAUUAGGUAGAUUAAACACUAGAAAUUAGGUAAAAAUCAAGGGGUUAGAGCAAGACCUAGGGUGUUAAUAAAACUUAGAUUUAACCACGAAAUUUGUUAUGAAAUGAAGUAGAAAUCAUAUAUUAUUGAUCCUUAGGUUGUAGAGAACAACUUCCUUCGAAAAAUCUCGGAAUCCGGACAUGUGGGCCCGGGGUCGGAAUUUAGGAAACUUGUGUAAAAGGUUAGGAAAUUGCUUAAAUAGUUAGAAUUCGAUCUUGUGAGUCUAUAUUGACUAGCUCUUACUCCAUUUAACUAGUUUGGGAUUGUUCGGCUCCAAAUUGAGGGUUUGGGAUCGUCCUUGGCAUUUGAAGUAUACUUUGGAGCGAGGUAAGUCUCCUUUCUAACCUUGUAAGAGGGAAUUGUCCCCAUAGGCAUAAUAAUUGAGUAAUUGUUGCUAAAUGCGGGGGCUACGUACGUACUAGGUGAUGAGAGUCCGUGCGUAGCUACUAUUAUGUUAAUUGUCCGGGUAGUUUAGGACCGACAUCAUGCUAUAUUUGUGAAUAUCUCUAUAUUAUCUUGCUAAUAUGAUCACUUAGGAUGUGCUAGAGACUUGGAAAGUAAUAAGAGCGAACAUGUAUACUUGUUGAACUCUUGAGUGACAUUAUUGAAUAUUAAUGUGCCUUCGUGUGUGUUCUUGAUAUUGCUUGUUAUUUGUGGAUCGGGCUGAUCGCCUCGGCAUGAAUAGAUGCAUCUAUGGUUCGCGCCGUUCGACCCUCGGCAGUGCACAGUUUAUUUCUGUUGGAUCGGGCCGUCGCCUUGGCAUAAUGUGCGCAUGAUAUCUAUGUGAAGUCUUAUGCAUGAUUUGUUUUGCUAAGUAUUUCAAAAUGUAAAUAGCUAAUUGAUACAUUGUUAAGAACAUGAUUUUACCUCUUGUUAUACACUAUUGAUUAUUGGUGAUCCCCAUGCUUAGCAUAGCACUUUAUUAUAUAAUUUGACCCUAGUAAGUAUCAAGUCGACUUCUCGUCUCUACUUCUUCGNNNNNNNNNNNNNNNNNNNNNNNNNNNNNNNNNNNNNNNNNNNNNNNNNNNNNNNNNNNNNNNNNNNNNNNNNNNNNNNNNNNNNNNNNNNNNNNNNNNNNNNNNNNNNNNNNNNNNNNNNNNNNNNNNNNNNNNNNNNNNNNNNNNNNNNNNNNNNNNNNNNNNNNNNNNNNNNNNNNNNNNNNNNNNNNNNNNNNNNNNNNNNNNNNNNNNNNNNNNNNNNNNNNNNNNNNNNNNNNNNNNNNNNNNNNNNNNNNNNNNNNNNNNNNNNNNNNNNNNNNNNNNNNNNNNNNNNNNNNNNNNNNNNNNNNNNNNNNNNNNNNNNNNNNNNNNNNNNNNNNNNNNNNNNNNNNNNNNNNNNNNNNNNNNNNNNNNNNNNNNNNNNNNNNNNNNNNNNNNNNNNNNNNNNNNNNNNNNNNNNNNNNNNNNNNNNNNNNNNNNNNNNNNNNNNNNNNNNNNNNNNNNNNNNNNNNNNNNNNNNNNNNNNNNNNNNNNNNNNNNNNNNNNNNNNNNNNNNNNNNNNNNNNNNNNNNNNNNNNNNNNNNNNNNNNNNNNNNNNNNNNNNNNNNNNNNNNNNNNNNNNNNNNNNNNNNNNNNNNNNNNNNNNNNNNNNNNNNNNNNNNNNNNNNNNNNNNNNNNNNNNNNNNNNNNNNNNNNNNNNNNNNNNNNNNNNNNNNNNNCACCAGGUCUUGGCACACACAUUAAUAAAUACUUAUUUUUGGAUUGUAUAAUCGUUUUCGAUACUUUAUUGAUCACUUAUGAUUUUUUUUAUUUAAAUUUGAGAAUCUGCUUCACUUUUUUUUUUUAUAAAAGUAAAGUAAUAACUUAAUUAUGUUUUUCCGCGUCGGCUUGCCUGACAAUGGUGUCGGGCGCCAUCAUGACCUAUUUUGGAAAUGGGUCGUGACAACCUUUAACAGAAAAGCGGGCCACGCGAACGUGCACACCAUUUUUUAAAUGACUCAGAAGGGAGGCGUAAGAAGACAGUUUAAUACAGUUCAAAUAAUAUCAAAGCGGUAAAUAAGCGGCAAUUAGCACAGGCCGCAAAAUACUGUAAUAUCAACAAUAAAUAAAGCCAAGUAAAAAUCACAUUAAUAAGCUUGAAUUCUUGAACCCUGAAUUCUGUUAACCCGGAAGAAGGUGUUAGGCAUUCCCAAAUUUAGUGAUUUUAGUACGGUCGCUUAGCAAUUUAUACUUAACUUAUUUCGUCUAAUUACUCAUUUUAGGACCUAUCUUUAUUUUACCUUUUACCGCUAUUAAUCACUUGAUAAUCCAUAUUUAAAGAAUUAACUUAUGAUGAGUUACACGUACGUAUACUCAGUUCCCAACACUUAGUUUAUUUUAAAAAAAGGUUUGGUCAAAGUUGCGCGAACACAAACUUUGAAUUUAUUUGAAAAGAAACAUAAUCAUGAUAGCAAUUUAAAUAUAGCGCCUAAAGCAUUUCUACGAGGAUAUUAUUAAGGCGCUUUAUUUACUAAGAAUGUUUGACCAUGGUCACGCGAACGUGUACGUUGAAUUAGUUUGGCAAAAUCAUAAUCAUGUCACGCGAACAUGUAUUAAUAAAAAACGCGCCUAUAGAAUUCUAGCAUGUGAUUGUUGUGAGGCCAAUGAAUGAAUAAAGUACUUUGAAAAUAUCAAAUCCGCUAAUAUUUUUAGAGCAUGCAUGAAUAUUUAUGGAUUACGGGAGAAAUGGGCUAGCCUUUAUUAUAUCUUCUAGUCUAAAAACCCAAGACAAGUUUAAAACCAUUAACAGAUAUCAACCUAAUUCAAACCUAUAUCCAACCCCAAAUUAUUUAUUCAUGUAUGCUUAACUAACUAACAAAAUCAAAGAUCAGAUAUAUGAAACAAUGGAUGACUAACAUGAAUAGAACCAUAUUACCGAACAACAUAUGGACUGAAAGUGGAAGCUAUUUUGAAAUAAGGCCACAAUAACAAAUUAAAAUAAAUUAAUAUGCUAUGCUUUCCAUCACAAUAACCAAACGAGACAUCACACAAAAGAGUAUAUUAGCAAAAUAAUAGGUGCAGUAAAGAGAGAGAGAGAGAGUGGACCUUUAAGCCAAAUAAUUUUCCAUAACUUGAUUAACUGGAAAACUCCAAGUGAGAUUUACAGUAGAGUAAAGCCGGCAUAAACUUGAGUGACGAACAACAAAAUAGCUUGAACGCCUUUGAGCGGAAACUCGAACGACAACCUCGAACGACCUUAGCUAAAUCUCAACAGCUGGAGUUAUCUUGGAGUUGCUUUUCAUGGUAUUUUUCAGCUAGUAUAAGAGGGAUUUACAACUGAUUUUCAUGGAGGAUGGUGGCUGGUUUGAGUUCGAGUUUUAGGGGGUGUUUCACGGUGGUUUAGGGUGGUUUUGGGGCGUGAAAAAGAUAAUUUGUUUGUGCUGGUUUUGGGAGUGAAAAUUUACAAAAAGAGGGAUGGUUUGGGGUAGUUUAAGAGCUAAAAAGCUGCUGAGUUCUGACUGGUUUUUGGCGUCAUAUAUGGGGCUAAAGAACUGCUUUUCAUGACCGUUUUUGUCGUUUGACGCAGCUGAUUUCUAGCAGCGUUUUGGGUCAUUCUCAUGGAAGCUUUAGGUGAGUUUUAAUGGCUGAAUUUUGGGGGAGGAAGGCAUGUUUCAGCCAUGGUGUUUUCUUUUAGGAACGAGAAGAAAGUUGGCAGCUGCUCUCUUUUAGAUCUGUUUUUUUUUGUUUUUUCUUUCUCUGCUUUUUCGUUUCUUUUUUCCAGCCCUCUAUUCUAUUUAUUUGUGUGUAUAGAUCUGUUUCUAUAUAUAGAGUGCCCUUAAGAUUUCUUGGGGCCAAAGUUAUAUGAGCUGGAGGGAAUAUUA
rnacentral:lncRNA from 1 species